GUAGGGAAUAUUGCGCAAUGGACGAAAGUCUGACGCAGCGACGCCGCGUGAGUGAUGAAGGCCUUAGGGUCGUAAAGCUCUGUUGAAUGGGAAGAAAAAAAUGACGGUACCAUUCGAGGAAGGACCGGCUAACUUCGUGCCAGCAGCCGCGGUAAUACGAGGGGUCCUAGCGUUGUUCGGAAUCAUUGGGCGUAAAGGGUGUGUAGGUGGCCAUGUAAGUCAGGUGUGAAAGCCCCGGGCUCAACCCGGGAAGUGCACUUGAUACGGCGUGGCUUGAGUACCGAAGAGGGUAGUGGAAUUCCAGGUGUAGUGGUGAAAUACGUAGAUAUCUGGAGGAACACCGGUGGCGAAGGCGGCUACCUGGUCGAGUACUGACACUGAGACACGAAAGCAUGGGGAUCAAACAGGAUUAGAAACCCGUGUAGUCC
rnacentral:rRNA from 1 species